AUUGAACGCUGGCGGCAUGCCUUACACAUGCAAGUCGAACGGCAGCACGGGUGCUUGCACCUGUUGGCGAGUGGCGAACGGGUGAGUAAUACAUCGGAACAUGUCCUGUAGUGGGGGAUAGCCCGGCGAAAGCCGGAUUAAUACCGCAUACGAUCUACGGAUGAAAGCGGGGGACCUUCGGGCCUCGCGCUGUAGGGUUUGCCGAUGGCUGAUUAGCUAGUUGGUGGGGUAAAGGCCUACCAAGGCGACGAUCAGUAGCUGGUCUGAGAGGACGACCAGCCACACUGGGACUGAGACACGGACCAGACUCCUACGGGAGGCAGCAGUGGGGAAUGUUGGACAAUGGGCGAAAGCCUGAUCCAGCAAUGCCGCGUGUGUGAAGAAGGCCUUCGGGUUGUAAAGCACUUUUGUCCGGAAAGAAAUCCUUGGCUCUAAUACAGUCGGGGGAUGACGGUACCGGAAGAAUAAGCACCGGCUAACUACGUG
rnacentral:rRNA from 1 species